rnacentral:tRNA from 1 species
GCCUGGGUAGCUCAGUCGGUUAAGCAUCCGACUUCAAGUCAGGUCAUGAUUUCACCCCCGACUUCAAGUCAGGUCAUGAUUUCACCCCCGCAGACCGGGGGGGUGGACCUGGCCGGGGCGUCCCCCCGGGCCGUGCUUGUGGGUUUGAGCCCCACUUCAGGCU